rnacentral:rRNA from 1 species
AAUCAACGCUGGCGGCGUGCCUAACACAUGCAAGUCGAACGCGAAAGUGGAGCAAUCCAUGAGUAGAGUGGCAAACGGGUGAGUAACGCGUGGGUGACCUGCCUUCGAGUGGGGGAUAACGUUCCGAAAGGGACGCUAAUACCGCAUGACAGUCCUGCCUUUGAAGAGGCGGAGAUCAAAGCCGGGGAUCGCAAGACCUGGGCGCUUGGUU